UACGUAGGGUCCGAGCGUUGUCCGGAAUUACUGGGCGUAAAGAGCUCGUAGGUGGUUUGUCGCGUUGUCCGUGAAAACUCACAGCUCAACUGUGGGCGUGCGGGCGAUACGGGCAGACUGGAGUACUGCAGGGGAGACUGGAAUUCCUGGUGUAGCGGUGGAAUGCGCAGAUAUCAGGAGGAACACCGGUGGCGAAGGCGGGUCUCUGGGAAGGAACUGACGCUGAGGAGCGAAAGCGUGGGGAGCGAACAGG
rnacentral:rRNA from 1 species